rnacentral:rRNA from 1 species
GGUCAAGCGAGAAGAGGGUUUAUGGCGAAUGCCUGGGCGUGUCCGGGCGAAGAAGGCCGUGGCAAGCUGCGAAAAGCCGCGGGGAGGAGCAAACAUCCUGU